rnacentral:ncRNA from 1 species
ACCGCAAUGGUAAUUCAGCUUAGUACGAGAGGAACCGCUGAUUCAGAUAAUUGGUUUUUGCGGCUGUCUGACAAGGCAGUGCCGCGAAGCUACCAUCUGCUGGAUAAUGGCUGAACGCCUCUAAGUCAGAAUCCAUGCCAGAACGCGGCGAUUUCCUCCCACACAUCGUAGUCGGAUACGAAUAGGCCUAUGGCCCUGAAUCUUAGCUAGUUGGCAAUGGGACAGCGGGAGAAGUCCACUGUCUCAGCUGACGCCUUGCAAUUUUACCAUGCGUGGGGAUAAAACCUUUGCAUACGACUUAGUUAUAUCAGACGGUGCUGUAAAUAGUAGAGUAGUCUUGUUAUUACGAUCUAUUGAGGCUAAGCCGCGCUGAUUUAGUUUUGU